AGCGAAGCGAGAGAACGUUGCGUCAGCAACGGCCCGCAGGGCGAGCCACGCAGUGGCGAGUCAUCCUCUAUCACCGGCAG
rnacentral:sRNA from 1 species